rnacentral:rRNA from 1 species
UGGGGAAUUUUGGACAAUGGGCGAAAGCCUGAUCCAGCAAUGCCGCGUGUGUGAAGAAGGCCUUCGGGUUGUAAAGCACUUUUGUCCGGAAAGAAAUCCUCUGGGUUAAUACCUCGGGGGGAUGACGGUACCGGAAGAAUAAGCACCGGCUAACUACGUGCCAGCAGCCGCGGUAAUACGUAGGGUGCAAGCGUUAAUCGGAAUUACUGGGCGUAAAGCGUGCGCAGGCGGUUUUGUAAGACGGAUGUGAAAUCCCCGGGCUUAACCUGGGAACUGCAUUCGUGACUGCAAGGCUAGAGUAUGGCAGAGGGGGGUAGAAUUCCACGUGUAGCAGUGAAAUGCGUAGAGAUGUGGAGGAAUACCGAUGGCGAAGGCAGCCCCCUGGGCCAAUACUGACGCUCAUGCACGAAAGCGUGGGGAGCAAACAGGAUUAGAUACCCUGGUAGUCCACGCCCUAAACGAUGUCAACUAGUUGUUGGGGAUUCAUUUCCUUAGUAACGUAGCUAACGCGUGAAGUUGACCGCCUGGGGAGUACGGUC